rnacentral:rRNA from 1 species
UACGUAGGGUGCAAGCGUUAAUCGGAAUUACUGGGCGUAAAGCGUGCGCAGGCGGUUAUGCAAGACAGAGGUGAAAAUCCCCCGGGCUCAACCUGGGAACUGCCCUUUGUGACUGCAUGACUAGAGUACGGUAGAGGGGGGGAUGGAAUUCCGCGUGUAGCAGUGAAAUGCGUAGAUAUGCGGAGGAACACCGAUGGCGAAGGCAAUCCCCUGGACCUGUACUGACGCUCAUGCACGAAAGCGUGGGGAGCAAACAGG